UGUGGUGACACCGGACGGAUAUGCGGCGAUGCUCUUGCGUGUGAACGCGUCUGCGGCGCUCUCUAAGCAGCUACGGGGAGAUCUCGCCUCGGACGAGCGAUUAGGACUCGGAGGAGAAGGGGGAGGAGGAGGAGCGAGUAGCAUCAGGGGGAGAACGAAAAAACAAAACACGGCAUCUGCUGGUCCGUCGCGUCCGCUCGGUGGUGAGGGGGCCCGUCGAGUCUCUGAGGAAGCCGGGGGCUGGAUUUGAGCCUCGCAGGGAUGUGCUGCUUCCUGUGUGAUGAGAUCCUGCAGCAUGCAUCCAUCCAGUCCAGUCUCACCAGCCUGGCAGAUAUAGGAGAAAGCUGGACGAUGAAAGGAGGAAGAGGAGGAGAGAGAUGGAGUGAGCAUUCAACGGUGCAGAACUGUUUUUAAUCAGCCCCCCCCCCCUUUUUUUAAAUCAG